rnacentral:rRNA from 1 species
GACGAACGCUGGCGGCGUGCCUAAUACAUGCAAGUCGAACGCCGUUGCGAACGGGUGAGUAAAGCGUAGGUAACUGCCUCAUAGCUGGGGAUAAAUAAUGGGAAAGAUAGCUAAUACCUCAUAGUGUGAGAUGGAUCUGCUUUGUAAUAGCUUGGUGGUGUGGCAAAGGCUCACCAAGGAGACGAUCAAUAGCCGACCUGAGAGGGGUAGCGGCCACACGGGGACUGAGACCCGGCCCAGACUCCCUCGGGAGAGAGCAGUAGGGAAACUUCGGGAAUGGACGGAAGUCUGACCGAGGAACUGCGCGUGAGUGAAGAAGGUGUUCGGAUCGUAAAGCUCUGUUGUUAGAGAAGCGGUAACUAACCAAAAAGGGACGGCUAACUACGUGCCAGCAGCCGCGGUAAUUC